rnacentral:rRNA from 1 species
AGUGAACGCUGGCGGUAGGCCUAACACAUGCAAGUCGAACGGCAGCACAGUAAGAGCUUGCUCUUACGGGUGGCGAGUGGCGGACGGGUGAGGAAUACAUCGGAAUCUACUUUUUCGUGGGGGAUAACGUAGGGAAACUUACGCUAAUACCGCAUACGACCUACGGGUGAAAGCAGGGGAUCUUCGGACCUUGCGCGAUUGAAUGAGCCGAUGUCGGAUUAGCUAGUUGGCGGGGUAAAGGCCCACCAAGGCGACGAUCCGUAGCUGGUCUGAGAGGAUGAUCGGCCACACUGGAACUGAGACACGGUCCAGACUCCUACGGGAGGCAGCAGUGGGGAAUAUUGGACAAUGGGCGCAAGCCUGAUCCAGCCAUACCGCGUGGGUGAAGAAGGCCUUCGGGUUGUAAAGCCCUUUUGUUGGGAAAGAAAAGCAGCAGGUUAAUACCCCGCUGUUCUGACGGUACCCAAAGAAUAAGCACCGGCUAGCUUCGUG